GAUGAAGAACGCAGCGAAAUGCGAUAAGUAGUGUGAAUUGCAGAAUUCAGUGAAUCAUCGAAUCUUUGAACGCACAUUGCGCCUCCUGGUAUUCCGGGAGGCAUGCCUGUUCGAGCGUCAUCAAAAACCUCAACCCAUGAUUUAUUGUGAGUUGGUUCUGCAUUGGACUCCUUGUGGGUCCUUUGCGUAAUUCAAUGGCGAAGAGCCACGCAACCAAAGCGUAGUAUAACUAUUUCGUUAUGGAAGCGUGGGUGCCUCUGCCGUAACCCCCAAUUUCUUAGUUUUUGACCUCGGAUCAGGUAGGGAUACCCGCUGAACUUAAGCAUAUCAAUAAGCGGAGGA
rnacentral:misc_RNA from 1 species